ACGAACGCUUGCGGCGUGCUUAACACAUGCAAGUCGAACGGAAAGGCCCUGCUUGUGUGGGGUGCUCGAGUGGCGAACGGGUGAGUAACACGUGAGUAACCUGCCCUUGACUUUGGGAUAACUUCAGGAAACUGGGGCUAAUACCGGAUAGGAGCUCCUGCUGCAUGGUUGGGGGUGGAAAGUUUCGGCGGUUGGGGAUGGACUCGCGGCUUAUCAGCUUGUUGGUGGGGUAGUGGCUUACCAAGGCUUUGACGGGUAGCCGGCCUGAGAGGGUGACCGGCCACAUUGGGAUUGAGAUACGGCCCAGACUACUACGGGAGGCAGCAGUGGGGAAUAUUGCACAAUGGGCGGAAGCCUGAUGCAGCAACGCCGCGUGCGGGAUGACGGCCUUCGGGUUGUAAACCGCUUUCGCCUGUGACGAAGCGUGAGUGACGGUAAUGGGUAAAGAAGCACAGGCUAACUACGUG
rnacentral:rRNA from 1 species